CUACAGGCUCUUACUGUGUCUUGUGAUUUGUACUUCUCUGUAAUCAUCUUAUGACUUGUCCUACACCUCAAAAGUAAACAAUGAAGCAGAAUUUCACCAUUUCGAGAACCUGUUUUGAGAGAUGUUCAACUGGCAUAAAGGGAUGAGUCCACUUUAUCCCAGGAGAGGAGGGAUAAGGAAUCUGCCAACAUUUUUUCUGAGUGUCUACUUCAGAGCCUUUUCCUCUUCCUCACCAAGUCAGGACCUCAGGAACCUAAGCAUUGUGGUGCACAAAAGUCCUACUGUGCAGGUUUCCAGAAGCGUUUUGAAACCCAGCACAGCAACCUCAAUUCUGGCAUUAGAUGCAGGAUAUCUCUCAGCAGUGGGAGCUAGACUCAUUCCAGAAAGCAAGGCAAUAAGCCUGUUUCAUUGGGUUUGAGCUUUAUCUUGUUUGUUUUCUUUUGUGUCCCUCCAACUAGGAAUCCUGAAGCAAAAAUAGAGGUUAGAAGAGGAUGGUUAUCAGGGCAGAGCCUGGGUGCAGCAUAGGGCAGGAGCCUCUGACGCAACACACACAGCUCCCUCCACUACAGAACUUUGACAACAUGCUCACCCAAGAAACUAAAAAGAGAGAGACAUAUUUGGCAAAAAAAAGAAUAAGCCAGUAUGUCUGUAAUGAACCUGGAAUAAAGCAU